GACGAACGCUGGCGGCGUGCUUAACACAUGCAAGUCGAACGAAGUGGCGCACGGGUGAGUAAUACGUGGGUAACCUGCCCUCAUGUUUGGGAUAAGCCUUGGAAACGGGGUCUAAUACCGGCUAAAGGGGGAUGGGCUCGCGGCCUAUCAGCUUGUUGGGGGGGUGAUGGUCUACCAAGGCGGUGCCGGGUAGCCGGCCUGAGAGGGGGAACGGGAACAAUGAGACGGGGCAACGGCCCAGGCUCCUACGGGAGGGAGAAUUGGGCGAUAUUGGACAAUGGGCGAAAGCCCGAUGCAGCGAGGCUGCGUGGGGGAUGCAGGCUUUCGGGUUGUAAACCUGUGGCGCUAUCGACAGGGUAGGUGGAGAAGAAGCACCGGCUAACUACGUGCCAGCAGCCGCGGUAAUAC
rnacentral:rRNA from 1 species